CCAGAAAGGGUUUGGAUCGACCUUCAACCUUACCGGUUAAAAAAGUGACCCCUGAAUAGCUCUGCUCCCCUUCGUACCAUAACGGAAGUCGUGACAAAGGGAUGCUGGAAAGGGUUAGAAUAAAAACUUUCCCCUCUCUAGUUUUUUUAGAAGCCUAGUUUUUGAUAUAGAAGGGUUAGGACGACCUAGUGGGUGACCUAACUAAGCGCCUGGUUACGUAACUGAUCGGAAUCUGAGUGAAGAUGUAUUUAGUAGGUUUUUAGGUUUUGGAGCUAAAGCAUGGAGCAGAGAUUUGCAGAGUCUGCUUCUUUUCCAUUCUGUCGAAUCCUUUUGUAGAAACUCUGAAAGUAACGUACGUAUCAGUUAGAUCAUUGUUUUCGGACUCUUGUCCAUAUUCGCUUUUGCAUGUGCCGAUGGACACGGAUCCUUAGUAAUCCACCAUAAGCCCGGCCAUCACGGAUAUGCCUACCAUGGAGGACAUGGAGUCAGCACACGCUAUGACGUC